rnacentral:rRNA from 1 species
AACGUAGGAGGCGAGCGUUAUCCGGAUUUACUGGGCGUAAAGGGCAAGUAGGCGGUGGCCAAAGUUGGGCGUGACAUCUCCCGGCUCAACUGGGAGGGGUCGCUCAAAACUAGGCGACUAGAGGGCAGGAGAGGGAAGCGGAAUUCCUAGUGUAGCGGUGGAAUGCUCAGAUAUUAGGAAGAACACCAGUGGCGAAGGCGGCUUCCUGGCCUGUACCUGACGCUGAGAGGCGAAAGCUAGGGGAGCAAACGGG